AUCAUCCAUUUGAGAUAUAUAUAAAAAGAUUGGUUUUUUUAAUUUCUGCACAUAGCCAAUUAUUAAACCUUGUCAAUAGACACCUUUAAAUGAAGGCAUUGCUAGUAUUGGUGAACAUAGACCGACUCUGAAGCAAGAAAGUUUUGAAAUUUAACUCUGAAACAUGUUUGCAUGUGGCCAAAUAGCAAUAGAAUGGUAGAAAUCAACAAAAAAAGAACAAAAAAAAAAAAAAGGAGCUGAUCCAUGAACAUCAAUUAUCACUUCAAUUCCAAACAACAACAGACACAUGAUCCUAAUCUAAUCAGUUUGCAGCUCAUCAGACAGAAAAUAACAUAGAAAGCUCUCUUUUUUUGUCUAUUAUAGCAACUAUCAGAGUAAGUAAACCGACCUUGUAAUCCUCAAAAGACAGUAGCUUUUUAUGUAAUGAGACAAAAUCUUCAGAACUCUUAAGCAGCAGGAGCAGUAGUGACGGUCAUUAUCUUCCUAAUCAAACCCCCACCCCCUGACAGAACAAAAAAACAUG